AAUAGAAAUGUCCGAUUAAACUUAAGUCUUCCAACUAUAUGUAGGAAAUAUCUUUGCUCAUUGCUACUUGCAUAAUUUGUCCACUGUUUAAGACUGCUUUCAAAACUAUAACUUCAUCUACAUUUGAUAUGAAAGCAUUUUUUUAAUGAAAGCAUGUUCAAAGCAAAUUAAAAACCACAAAGUAACAAACGGCAAAGGAUCCAAAGUUGUAGAACGGGACUGUUUCCACCUGGCUACAAGUUCAUCUAUGAAGUACUUCUUCUGGCCAUCUCUCCCUUGGAUUAAGUCCGUGACAUACUCGCGAAUCUCUUCCUCAUCAUCGAUAGACAAAA